rnacentral:lncRNA from 1 species
GAUUGUCCUCUUCAAUCCUAAGUCGCACAAUCAGUUCUUCAAGAUUCAUCUCUUUGCGUUUAUGCUUCAGAUAAUUCUUGAAGUCUUUCCAUGAUGGUGGAAGCUUCUCAAUCAUUGCUGCAACUUGGAAUGAUUCACUUAAUGACAUUCCUUCAGAAUGAAUGUCAUGUAGAAUUACUUGUAAUUCUUGAACCUGAGUGAUAACUGCUUUGGAAUCUACCAUUUUAUAAUCAAGAAAUCUACCGACAAUGAAUUUUUUCAUGCCAGCAUCUUCAGUUUUAUAUUUCUUAUCUAAAGAUUCCCAAAGUUCCUUUGCAGUUUGAAUUGUACAGUACACAUUAUACAGUGUAUUGUCUAAUCCAUUC